rnacentral:lncRNA from 1 species
AUGCCCCAAGUUUCAAUCAGUGAGAUCAGGUCAGUCCUGACUCCAACCCAGACUCUACUCUCCAUACCAAACAGGUCAGUCCUGACUCCAACCCAGACUCUCCUCUCUAGACCGAACAGGUCAGUCCUGACUCCAACCCAGACUCUACUCUCCAUACCUAACAGGUCAGUCCUGCCUCCAACCCAGACUCUACUCUCUAGACCGAACAGGUCAAGCCUGCCUCCAACCCAGACUCUCCUCUCCAUACCUAACAGUCCAGUCCUGCUCCAACCCAGACUCUCCUCUCCUAUACCAGGUCAGUCCGGCCUCCAACCCAGACUCUCCUCUCCACCCAACAGGUCAGUCCUGCCUCCAACCCAGACUCCUCCUCCCAACCCAACAGGUCAGUCCUACUCCAACCCAGACUCUCCUCUAGUCCAUACCAACAGGUCAGUCCGACUCCAACCCAGACCUCUCCUCUCCAUACCUAACAGGUCAGUCCUGCCUCCAACCCAGACUCUCCUCUCCAUACCCAACAGGUCAGUCCUGCCUCCAACCCAGACCUCCUCUCCAUACCCACAGGUCAGUCCUGACUCCACCCAGACUCUCCUCUCCAUACCUAACAGAUCAGUCCUGCCUCCAACCCAGACUCUCCUCUAGUCCAACCUAACAGGUCAGUCCUGCCUCAACCCAGACUCCUCCUCUAGUCCAUACCUAACAGGUCAGUCCUGCCUCCAACCCAGACUCUCCUCUCUAGACCGAACAGGUUAGUCCUACUCAACCGACUCUCCUCAGUCCAUACCACGUCAGUCCUGCUCCAACCCAGACUCUCCUCUAGUCCAACUAACAGGUCAGUCCUGCCUCCAACCACUCUCCUCUAGUCCAUACCUAACAGGUCAGUCCUGCCUCCAACCCAGACUCUCCUCUAGUCCAUACCUAACAGGUCGUCCUGCCUCCAACCCAGACUCCCUCUGUCCUACCUAAAAGGUCAGUCCUGCCUCCAACCCAGACUCUCCUCUAGUCCAUACCUAACAGGUCAGUCCUGCCUCCAACCCAGACUCUCCUCUAGUCCAUACCUAACAGGUCAGUCCUGCCUCCAACCCAGACUCUCCUCUAGUCCAUCACCUAACAGGUCAGUCCUGCCUCCAACCCGACUCUCCUCUCCACCUAACAGGUCAGUCCUGCCUCCAACCCAGACUCUCCUCUCCAUACCUAACAGGUCAGUCCUGCCUCCAACCCGACUCUCCUCUAGUCCAUACCAAACAUGUCAGCCGGUGUUUUGUGUUCAUGUAGCAAAUACAUUUCUGUCAGAACAGUUAAAAUAAAUGUUUAAAAGAUUAUAAUGUGUAAAUGAACACUGUAUCGGACUGUGUUUGUCUUAAUCGUCCUUGAACUCACAGGUGCUGACUCUGCACUCAGCAAAGCUGUUACUAUGUGUCUCUCUAUCCCAACUCACUACUGCCCUCUGCUGACAGGAGUGUGACCAAGGGCCUGUGUUCGUACUGCUGUCAACCGAUGGUGGCUGGAGCCAACAAUCCUGGAGGAUCUACAGAUCUACAGCCACCAUCCUGCUUCAAGGUAAAGCAACACACCAGUCUAUUCAACAUAUAUCUAUGUGUGUCCCAAUUGCCUCUCCUAAGCUCUUUAAACUGCACUACUUCAGACCAGGCCCAAUGGAUCCUAUAGGCUCUGGUCAAAAGUAGUGCACUAUAUAGGGAAUAGUGUGGCAUUUUCACACACCACAGUACGUCUCACAUGUCACACGUCUAUCUAUUCAACACACAUCUACAGAACGUCUACAUGUCUAUCUAUCAAAACACAUCUACAGGACGUCACGUCUAUCUAUUCAACACACAUCUACAGUACAUCUACACUCUAUCUAUCAACACACACUACAGAACAUCUACACAUCUAUCUAGUCAACACAAUCUACAGAAGGUCUACACGUCAUCUAUUCAACACACAUCUACAGUACGUCUAUCUAUUCAACACAUUACAGGACGUCUAUCUAUUCACACACAUCUACAGGACAGGACGUCUACACGUCUAUCUAUUCAACACACAUCUACAGAACUCGCUACACGUCUAUCUAUUCAACACACACAUCUACAGGACGUCUACACGUCUACUACAGGAAGUCCACACAUCUAUCUAUUCAAACACACAUCUACAGGACGUCUACACGUCAUCUAUUCAAAACACAUCUACAGGAAGUCACACAUCUUCCACAUAGUUGUGCUGUAGUGAUAACUGGAUAUGCCCUCUAGAUGUGUAUCAUGUGUGCAGUCAGGCAGGCAGUCAGUCAUCAGUAGGCAGGCAGUCAGUCAAUCAGUUGGCAGUCAGUCAGUCAAUCAGUUGGCAGUCAGUCAGUCAGUCAAUCAGUAGGCAGGCAGUCAGUAAUCAGUUGGCAGUCAGUCAGUCAAUCAGUUGGCGUCAGUCAGUCAGUCAAUCAGUUGGCAGUCAGUCAGUCAGUCAUUUGGCAGUCCAGUCAGUCAAUCAGUUGGCAGUCAGUCAGUCAAUC